AAUAAUAAUAAUAACUAUGUAACUUCCCUUUGUGAUUCAAGGAUUGAUGUUUGCCAAGGAAACCAAAAAAGAACUUUCUCAAUACUUCUCAAUACAUCUGCACACACAUGCACGCACACACACACACAUAUACAGUACUUCCAAUAUACCCUCAGUGUCUCGUCUGCGCAAUUCUCUGUCUCUUCCACUUAUUUAAAUUGUCUGUCUUGAGUUGCUGCACGUCAAUCCUGGAGCAAUGCCUUUUCUUUGUGGUUCUUAUGCUCAAGGUGGUGCUGGUAAUUCAUUUAUACAAAUUAAAUAUGUCACGGAUCACUGGACCUCUUAAUUGUACCCCAGGUAUUAUCACCAUGCCGAUAUUUAAUUUGUAGGCUCUUACCUGCUUUGCUUCUCCCCCUUUAAUCACCCGUUUCCCCUCCACCACAUUCAUAAAUCAAUUGCUGCACAAUUUAUUCUUAACUUUGCUGACUAGCAAGUCUGCAUGGUGAUAGUGCACUGCAUCUUCACCAUGUUCAUGGCCCGUUGUAGUUUCAGGGCACAACCAGCAGGUGUCACUCUUAGCACACACAUGGUGCAGAGGGCGAGGGUGCCAAGCUCUACAUGGAGAAAACUUCGAACUUGGACUUGCUAUGAAACUGUUGCAGUUGAAUGACUCUGGAUAAUUGAUAGCAGUGACUCAUACAAUAUUUAUUCCAUAGUCAUGUGAUCAUUUCAAUUCUUGUUACUUGUACCCUCUUGGAAAAGCUGAGUCAUUUGAGUAAAGCCAAAAAUGCUAUCAACUGCUGAGGAAUCUCUGCAGGCAAAAUUGAUAAGCAUGAUUUUCAAGUGUGUGUGUGUGCAUAUGAUUGUGUGUUCAUGAGUGUGUGCAAAAGUAUUGGGACAGCGACAACAUUUUUGUGUUUUUGUUAAACAAAACAGUCAAUAUGAGGUUGAGAUUGUAGCGCAGACAGUCAGCUUUAAUUUGAGACUUUCCCAGGCAGCACAGACCUCAGGUCAGUUGGCGGUGUGGCAGGGUCACAGACCUCAGGUCAGUUGGCGGUGUGGCAGAGUCACAGACCUCAGGCCAGUUAGCGGUGUGGCAGGGUCACAGUCUUUCCCAGAUAGUACAGACCUCAGGUCAGUUAGUGGUGUGGCAGGGUCACAGUCUUUCCCAAAUAGUACAGACCUCAGGUCAGUUAGUGGUGUGGCAGGGUCACUACUUGUCCUGGCCUUUUUGCACCAAAUCCUGCUCCAGUUAGCGCACAAACACUGAUUAUGUUCUUAACCUGAAUUUCUUCAAAAUAAAUAUUCUGCUGUAUAAAUGGGUUGUACGUGAAAGAAUUUAAGCUGUGUAAGUGGCUCAGAAUAAGAGAAUCUGCUAAAUGCCUAAAAUAAAGAUGUUGAGAUUAAUAAAUAAACAACAACAACAGCAAAAUCUAGUUGUGUGCCAUGUGAAAUGUACUUUUGGAAGUUACUUUGGCUAAAAGCAUCUCCUAACUGAUUAAAUCUUAAGUUGUAAUGAUGCAACAGUCAUGUGC